rnacentral:rRNA from 1 species
GGUUUAUCAAAAACAUAUUCAUAAGAGAUAACCAUUUAUGAUAAGCCCUGCCCAAUGGAUACCCUAAACGGCUGCGGUAUCCUGACCGUACUAAGGUAGCAUAAUCAUUUGUCUAUUAAUUGUAGUCUAGAAUGAAUGGGUAAACGUACAUAACCCUGUGUCAGGGGAAAACCUAUAAAUUAACCUAUAAGUGAAAAGGCUUAAAUAAUAAAGAAGGACAAGAAGACCCUAUAGAUCUUUCCCUUUCCACUGAACUACUAUCAGCUGGAAAAUUUUGGAUGGGGCGUCCCGAGAACCACCUAAAAAACCACUCAACUAAUAAAGAGCAACUACUCCACUAUAUAACCUCAGACACUGAAUUUUGAACAACUAAAGUUACCUUAGGGAUAACAGGCUAAUUCUUCUCCAGAGUCCAUAUCUACAGAAGAGCUUGGCACCUCGAUGUUGGCUUAGGAUAACAUUUAACGCAGCAGUUAAAUAACCACAGUUUGUUCAACUGAUAAUAUCCUACGUGAUCUGAGUUCA